rnacentral:rRNA from 1 species
GAUGAACGCUGGCGGCGUGCCUAAUACAUGCAAGUCGAGCGAACAGACGAGGAGCUUGCUCCUCUGACGUUAGCGGCGGACGGGUGAGUAACACGUGGAUAACCUACCUAUAAGACUGGGAUAACUUCGGGAAACCGGAGCUAAUACCGGAUAAUAUAUUGAACCGCAUGGUUCAAUAGUGAAAGACGGUUUUGCUGUCACUUAUAGAUGGAUCCGCGCCGCAUUAGCUAGUUGGUAAGGUAACGGCUUACCAAGGCAACGAUGCGUAGCCGACCUGAGAGGGUGAUCGGCCACACUGGAACUGAGACACGGUCCAGACUCCUACGGGAGGCAGCAGUAGGGAAUCUUCCGCAAUGGGAGAAAGCCUGACGGAGCAACGCCGCGUGAGUGAUGAAGGUCUUCGGAUCGUAAAACUCUGUUAUUAGGGAAGAACAAAUGUGUAAGUAACUAUGCACGUCUUGACGGUACCUAAUCAGAAAGCCACGGCUAACUACGU